rnacentral:rRNA from 1 species
GGCGUAAAGCGUGCGCAGGCGGUUAUAUAAGACAGAUGUGAAAUCCCCGGGCUCAACCUGGGAACUGCAUUUGUGACUGUAUAGCUAGAGUACGGUAGAGGGGGAUGGAAUUCCGCGUGUAGCAGUGAAAUGCGUAGAUAUGCGGAGGAACACCGAUGGCGAAGGCAAUCCCCUGGACCUGUACUGACGCUCAUGCACGAAAGCGUGGGGAGCAAACAGGAUUAGAUAGU